rnacentral:rRNA from 1 species
GACGAACGCUGGCGGCGUGCUUAACACAUGCAAGUCGAACGGAAAGGCCCUGCUUGCAGGGUACUCGAGUGGCGAACGGGUGAGUAACACGUGGGUGAUCUGCCCUGCACUUCGGGAUAAGCCUGGGAAACUGGGUCUAAUACCGGAUAGGAGCCAUUUUUAGUGUGAUGGUUGGAAAGUUUUUUCGGUGUAGGAUGAGCUCGCGGCCUAUCAGCUUGUUGGUGGGGUAAUGGCCUACCAAGGCGGCGACGGGUAGCCGGCCUGAGAGGGUGGACGGCCACAUUGGGACUGAGAUACGGCCCAGACUCCUACGGGAGGCAGCAGUGGGGAAUAUUGCACAAUGGGCGCAAGCCUGAUGCAGCGACGCCGCGUGAGGGAUGACGGCCUUCGGGUUGUAAACUCCUUUCGCUAGGGACGAAGCUUUUUGUGACGGUACCUAGAUAAGAAGCACCGGCUAACUACGUG